rnacentral:rRNA from 1 species
CCACAGAACUUUCCAGAGAUGGAUUGGUGCCUUCGGGAACUGUGAGACAGGUGCUGCAUGGCUGUCGUCAGCUCGUGUUGUGAAAUGUUGGGUUAAGUCCCGCAACGAGCGCAACCCUUAUCCUUUGUUGCCAGCGGUUAGGCCGGGAACUCAAAGGAGACUGCCAGUGAUAAACUGGAGGAAGGUGGGGAUGACGUCAAGUCAUCAUGGCCCUUACGACCAGGGCUACACACGUGCUACAAUGGCAUAUACAAAGAGAAGCGACCUCGCGAGAGCAAGCGGACCUCAUAAAGUAUGUCGUAGUCCGGAUUGGAGUCUGCAACUCGACUCCAUGAAGUCGGAAUCGCUAGUAAUCGUAGAUCAGAAUGCUACGGUGAAUACGUUCCCGGGCCUUGUACACACCG